GAGUGCUCCCUAGUAACGGAAUGGUCCGUGAUUAUAAUUCACGCUCCCUAAAACGCACGUUUUAAGUGGUGCAUAAAAAAAAAAACUGUCUGCAUGUAUUUGCUGUCUGUUGGAUUUGCACUACAUUUCGCGAAUCAGCCAGUGAGUUUACAGAUCUCGAAAGCAAACUGCUUGGCAUUAAAAAGGAACAAAGGACUCGCUACAGGCUGGGAGAUACUAAUGGUUAUCAAGUACAUAUACUCGUGCUUUUUAUGAACAUCAUGCACAGUAAAACAGAAUUUUUUUUUUUUGGAUUUAAUCCGGAUCGUGAAAUGAGUAUGCGGAAAACACUGGGAAAAAGAUUCUGAUUAAAAUUAUUAUCAAGUUGUGCUUAUUGUAUGGAUUAUGCCAUUGGACAGCAUAUAUUGAUAGAUUUCGGCCUAACGCUUCGGUGUUUUGUUUAUGACACGUCAGCUUUGUGAAUUUCGUUUUAUUAACAUCAUCGUAUGAAUACAGUUCUAUGAAUUUGUGUUAGGCAUAUGUCAUUUUCGGUAAUAGUAUAUGACGUAAGACAAUCUGUUUUAGCGGUUGAAACAAAUGUGUCUACUAUGUUCUUGAGCAUAAUUGGAGUCAGAGUAAACAAAUGCCUGUUCAGUUGUUCAACAUCCGACUCAACUGAAUAACGGGAAUAUUCAAAAAUGCAAAAUGUGAUUUAUUUUUUGUCAUGCAUUUUUGAAACAUAUCUAUCAAAAACACAUUUUGAAAAACAAAGAAAUCAAUAUAAUAUGCAGUACAGUGUGAAAACAAGAGUUGUUUUUCACAUGAUAUUUCCCAAUACCAAGCGAUCGUUUAGAGAGCCAGCCAAUUCAAUAGAAUGACUAAGAGGAAAUUGAGUGAUGAAACUUGAUAAGGACAAUGAACUUUGUGGAACUGAAAAUGACCGUUAGGCUAUGCAUGGGGAAUCAGUGACAAUGGUCAGAUGGAAGCCUGUACUUAGACAAAAGCCGAAUGCUGUGUGAGAACAACAUCAAUAUCAGACAGUGGAUUAUUUUCUGAUUUUAGAAGAGCAAGGAUAAUAGGAAUUGGACAUCCCUCAAUCUCUACAUUUUGGCUUUUUCUUUACAUUCUUUGAGUUUAUGUUUCAGGUAUCUCGUGGUCCUUGGACAAGGCAAGAAAUGUUCUGACAACAUGCCUUCAUCCAAAGCAAAAGGAGCGGACUGUAUGGAUUUUUAACCAUCCGUUGCUCCAUCUUUUGUAACUUUUUAUUCAGUAUAAACUAUGUUAAUCCCUUCCAUUUAACAAGUUAAUAAUUUUAAGUUCUUUAUUAAACGUAAAUAAUGAUUACUUUGUGAAUCUAUGCAUUGAGGCUAUUGUCUGGCCAUUAUCAUGGCCUAACAAUAUUGAAAAGUUUUUUAUGAUUUAUUGGCAGUGUUCUGUGCAUGUACUGUGAUGUUUGUUUGCUGAAUAAUAUAGUGGGCUGGUGUUUUCGUUUGACUAGAAGGAAAUCGUCUUUGUAACACUGGCUUUGACAGCUACACAGAAGAAGGCUAGCAGUUUGAUUUCAAGCUAUAUAGGAACACGAUCGGUGUGGCGUAUUACAACUGCACACAUAUAUAAAGGCAAAAUCAUUUUGGAGUCAAUUUCCUAGCACAUCACUGAGUAUUCUCCUAGACAAAUAAUUGUUUUUGAUAUUAUCCUUGUUGCAGGAAGGCUUGUAGGUAGUGCCAUUUUCCUUGGUAUACUCAGUUUUUUCAAAUCUUAAUAUAAGCUGUUUUUGACAAACCACAUUAUAAUUUCCUCAUUAACUGGUACUAUAGCACUGAACCAGUAUAUUGACUGACCUCUACGCAACAUCAUUUAGAAAUGUUAAAUAAGAAUAAUUAAUCAACAUUGGAUAUUUAUUGAGGAACCAUGAGCUUGCUGUCAGAAUACAGGCAUUUCUCCCCAGUUUCCUUUCUCUCUUUUAAAUUCACUUAAUUUCUUAAUCACCGUCUUCCCUGAAAACAGGCAGUGGGUAGGAGGCAGUACAGAGUAUAUCAAACAUCAUCCAGUGUUUCUAGGAAAACAUUAUGCUAAAUAUUUACAUUUUAAAACAGAAUAUAAUAUAGAAGACAAGACAGAUGUAAUAUUCACAUAUCUUUUUAUGAUAUAAAAUACAUGGAGAACUGCACUUCCUGUAUAUUUUUUGCAAAUUUGGAUUACUAGCACCAAAAUAAUAAAGGUAUUUCUUAAGUUCCACAAAAUGAGCUUGGGGAUCUCCUGCUUCUUAUAUCUACUUCCUGUUGUUACAUAGAAACUGUCAUACUUCCUCUAUAAGUAUUUAUACUCUAUGCCUGAUCUGAUUUUGCAUCCAGUAAUUGAUCUUGGGAAAGAAGUAUGUGACUGAGCACAAUACAGAAUUCAAUAGAAUAGGAAUAGGAUUAGGGAUAUAUUAAAUUGCUGUGGUAUAGGUAGUGAUGGCCAUUUUAUUUCAGAAUUCUUAUUCCUUUUAUUUUUAUAUGUUAUAAUAAAUUGUAGCCAUGGGUGUUCCAUUGUGUCAUAUGUACUCAAAAAAUACAUAAAAAAGCAUCAAAAGAAGACAUACUUAUUCUCUUUGGUAUGCAAGCUUUUGAUUACUGUAAAAAAAAACUCUUUCUAUCAUUUUAAACAUCUCCACAAUACUGACAUCUUGUGAUACCAAAGCAAAAUUAUCAUACAUGCAAUAACAAGUAAUUAUUCAUGCACUCUAUACUACUCUAACAAUAUUACCAUAAUGCUUAAAAUAAGAAAAGCUUAGAGAGAAUAAAAUUUACAUAAAGAUUUAAUAAUUAUACUUAAUUUGUAUUAUACGACUAAAGUCAAUAAUUUCAGUUGUUUUUGUGAUCAUUUUCAUAAUCUUUAUAGAAAUUUACUUGAUGGCAGAGAAAGUUUUUUGGCUUACUGGAUAUGCAAUGAGUAUUAUGUUAGAAAUUCAGUGCAAUCCAUGGACAAUGAAAUCAGCAGCCUUUAAGAUUAUAGCUUCGCAUUCCUUUCCUUUUAUGGCAAUUACUCAUUUUCAAUAGCAUAUAAAUAUAGGUAUAUAUGGUAAGUAGAAUAAUGGACAGGUGAAAAAUAAUGUCUUUAAGAUUCUAGGUUAACAUUUUUUUUCACAGCUCAUCCAAAUCUAAGUCUCAGUUCAAGAACAAAAGAGAGUAGAACGCUAGUUUUAAAUGGAAAAUGUCAGCCAGAAUGGGCUACAAAUCAGUCCUUUGAUCAGACAUUUUCUUUUUUUUUCAUAUAUCAGCCCCUACAAGACAUUUAAUGGACACAACACAGAGGAAGGAUUGCCAUAUAUGAAACAGGAAGCUGCAGAUAUGACAGACAUUGAAGACGGGGCCUUGGAUUGAUGCACUGUAGGGGAUUUCCUCACCCUGCUGCUUCUCUCUCUCUCUCUCUCUCUGUGUGUGUGUGUAUGUGUGUGUUGACCAAAUGUUCCCCACAACGUAAUAAAAACCUGUUAUUUUGA